AACCAUGAAACACGUGUCGACUAGAAUGUGAAACUCUAUAACUUUGUCUUUUACACGAAUUUCUAUCUGCAGUAUUUUCCGAGUUAUAGGUCCCAUAGCUCAAUGGCUCAAAACGCUCAUAGCUCCGAAAUUAUAAGCUUU